UUGAAACACCGGUUCCCGUACGAUCCUCGAAGUUAAGCAACGUCAAACCUUGUCUGUAUCUAGAUGGGUGACCGCUUGGGAGUACUAGGUUCUGUAAG